rnacentral:rRNA from 1 species
CCUUUGGGGUGUGACUGCGUACCUUUUGUAUAAUGGGUCAGCGACUUAUAUUCUGUAGCAAGGUUAACCGAAUAGGGGAGCCGGAGGGAAACCGAGUCUUAAUUGGGCGUUAAGUUGCAGGGUAUAGACCCGAAACCCGGUGAUCUAGCCAUGGGCAGGUUGAAGGUUGGGUAACACUAACUGGAGGACCGAACCGACUAAUGUUGAAAAAUUAGCGGAUGACCUGUGGCUGGGGGUGAAAGGCCAAUCAAACCGGGAGAUAGCUGGUUCUCCCCGAAAGCUAUUUAGGUAGCGCCUCGUGAAUUCAUCUCCGGGGGUAGAGCACUGUUUCGGCUAGGGGGCCAUCCCGGCUUACCAACCCGAUGCAAACUGCGAAUACCGGAGAAUGUUAUCACGGGAGACACACGGCGGGUGCUAACGUCCGUCGUGAAGAGGGAAACAACCCAGACCGCCAGCUAAGGUCCCAAAGUCAUGGUUAAGUGGGAAACGAUGUGGGAAGGCCCAGACAGCCAGGAUGUUGGCUUAGAAGCAGCCAUCAUUUAAAGAAAGCGUAAUAGCUCACUGGUCGAGUCGGCCUGCGCGGAAGAUGUAACGGGGCUAAACCAU